rnacentral:tRNA from 1 species
GCCGGUGUAGCUCAAAGGUAGAGCAGCGGUCUUGUAAACCGCAGGUUGAGGGUUCGAGUCCCUCCGCCGGCUCCA